rnacentral:rRNA from 1 species
GAUGAACGCUGGCGGCGUGCCUAAUACAUGCAAGUCGAGCGAACGGACGAUAAGCUUGCUUCUCUGAUGUUAGCGGCGGACGGGUGAGUAACACGUGGAUAACCUACCUAUAAGACGGGGAUAACUUCGGGAAACCGGAGCUAAUACCGGAUGAUAUUUUGAACCGCAUGGUUCAAAAGUGAAAGACGGUCUUGCUGUCACUUAUAGAUGGAUCCGCGCUGCAUUAGCUAGUUGGUAAGGUAACGGCCUACCAAGGCAACGAUGCAUAGCCGACCUGAGAGGUUGAUCGGCCACACUGGAACUGAGACACGGUCCAGACUCCUACGGGAGGCAGCAGUAGGGAAUCUUGCGCAAUGGGCGAAAGCCUGACGGAGCAACGCCGCGUGAGUGAUGAAGGUCUUCGGAUCGUAAAACUCUGUUAUUAGGGAAGAAAAUAUGUGGAAGUAACUGUGCACAUCUUGACGGUACCUAAUCAGAAAGCAACGGCUAACUACGUG